GCCUGGAGUCCACAUAUGUACCACAAACAAGCUUUGAUAAAUCAAACAUUUCAGGAGGUAUUUGCAUGCGAACUUCUUGAAUUAAAUUUCUUGCAGUAACAACAUUUUGAUCAAGUGGGUCACUGAGAUUCAUUGUCACCUCUAUGUCAUUCGAAGCAAGCUUAGCCACUGGAAGGCUCGAUGGGAACUCCUUAAAAGGGAUUGCUUUCCUCCAUUUUCUACCUGAUAAUUUCUGAAAUAAUGAAUCAAAAUUGUUUGAUUGACCAAAGGAGAAUCUUCCAGUACUUUUUUCUUCCUUAAGAUACAACCGUCUUCCAGAUGUUAAUCUAAAUACAGAGUCUACUUCCAUUUUCCCAAUAAUGCCAGCCUUGUCAUGGGGCCAAUCAUGACCGAUGAUGACUGUGAAGCCAAUGUCAGAAGUGAAAGAAAGGCUGGUGUUUAAAUCCAAUGCUCUUGAAACAGUUAAAUUAACAUCGCCGAUGAGAACACGAGCAGAGGGCUGACGAAGGGUUAAGCCUAUGUGCCUCCCUGUACAGUAUAAUAGACGCCAUUUUCCAGGCAGCAACUCCAACCAGUUCUUUGGCCUUGAAUGUGGAUUCAGCAUCUCCAUCAAUUCAACAAAGUAGGCAAGCCUAUUACGCUGGGGCCUGCUGUAAAUAUAUUCCUCUGCAAUGCGCACUGCAGUUGAACCG
rnacentral:misc_RNA from 1 species